GACAGAGGAUGCAAGCGUUAUCCGGAAUGAUUGGGCGUAAAGCGUCUGUAGGUGGCUUUUUAAGUCCGCCGUCAAAUCCCAGGCUCAACCCUGGACAGGCGGUGGAAACUACCAAGCUGGAGUACGGUAGGGCAGAGGGAAUUUCCGGUGGAGCGGUGAAUGACGUAGAGAUCGGAAAGACACCAACGGCGAAAGCACUCUGCUGGGCCGACACUGACACUGAGAGACGAAAGCUAGGGAGCGAAUGG
rnacentral:rRNA from 1 species